rnacentral:rRNA from 1 species
UACGAAGGGUGCUAGCGUUGUUCGGAAUUACUGGGCGUAAAGCGUGCGUAGGCGGCUUGGUAAGUCGAUUGUGAAAGCCCAGGGCUUAACUCUGGAACUGCAAUCGAAACUGCCUUGCUUGAGUAUGGUUGGGGAUAGUAGAAUUCCUAGUGUAGGGGUGAAAUCCGUAGAUAUUAGGAGGAAUACCAGUGGCGAAAGCGGCUAUCUGGACCAUUACUGACGCUGAGGUACGAAAGCGUGGGGAGCAAACAGG